UUAGUAAAUAAGAAUUAAAAAAAAAAAAAAAUCUUUCAAGGCUCAACUCUAAAACCACGCCCAUGCUUGCCUAGGAGGGCCGGAACUCGAAGCUCACUGACUUUGUUCAAAAUCAGGCUUGAUUUGAGCCAACUUCUCGAGAGAGAGUGAGAGGAGAUGACGAUAGAAGAGGCAGCAGGCCCCGCCGGACCAAAGGUUCUCCGAUUGCUGUAUUUCGUCGGCGCCGGAUUUAUAUGCACUGUGGCCAUCAACAAGUGGAGAGAAGUUGAAAGGAAAUCCAUUCAGAAACAGCACCAACAACAAUCCCACCUCCCUCCAAAUUUGUUGCCCCAAAGCUCUCCAAAUGCCGUUCAAAAACCCACCAAGUGAUCUCUCAGCUACAGGAAUUAAAAACAUGCUUGGAUUGCAGGCUUGAGCCCCCAAAUGUCAAUCCUAAGAGAGAAAUGCAGAACUAACUUAUCAGAAAUUGAAGUGGUAUUAAACAUAGAUAUAUGCAUGGGAGAUAAAAAUAAUGUUGAAUCAAACAUCACUGUAAAGUUGAAGCAAAAGCCUAACCUAACCACUAUUCUUCCUAGAAAGUGCAAUAAGGUAUUUGAACAGGGAAUUAUAGGCUUUAUUGUCUUCUUGAGUCUGUCCUUUUAUAAUGUACAAUAACAUUUCUACUGCAAGACAGGAAAAGUUCAAUUUUUAUUGUAUAAAAAGUUAUUAUUUGGGAGUUUUGGGUUGAUUUCAAUCUCCCAAUACAGAAAAUUUCCAUAGAAAUUGCCUACCGACAUUUACGAUUU